AGUGAACGCUGGCGGUAUGCCUAACACAUGCAAGUCGAACGGCAACACAGUAAGAUCGUGCUCUUACGGGUGGCGAGUGGCGGACGGGUGAGGCAUACAUCGGCAUGUACUUUUUCGGGGGGGAUAACGGAGGGAAACUUACGCUAAUACCGCAUACAACCUACCGCAGAAAGCAAUAGUGCUUGGGACCUUUCGUGUCUGUAUUAGACGGUGUCGGAUUAGCUAGUUGGGGGGGUAAGGGCACACCAAGGCAACGAUGCGUAGCUGGUCUGAGAGGAUGAUCGGCCACACUGGAACUGAGACACGGUCCAGACUCCUACGGGAGGCAGCAGUGGGGAAUCUUGCACAAUGGGCGCAAGCCUGACCCAGCCAUACCGCGUGAGUGAAGAAGGUCUUCGGGUCGUAAAGCCCUGUUGUUGGGAAAGAACAGCAGCGUGUUAAUCCCCCGCUGUUUUGACGGUACCCAAAGAAUAAGCACCGGCUAACUUCGUG
rnacentral:rRNA from 1 species